AGUGAACGCUGGCGGUAGGCCUAACACAUGCAAGUCGAACGGCAGCACAGGAGAGCUUGCUCUCUGGGUGGCGAGUGGCGGACGGGUGAGGAAUACAUCGGAAUCUACCUUUUCGUGGGGGAUAACGUAGGGAAACUUACGCUAAUACCGCAUACGACCUACGGGUGAAAGUGGGGGACCGCAAGGCCUCACGCGAUUAGAUGAGCCGAUGUCCGAUUAGCUAGUUGGCGGGGUAAUGGCCCACCAAGGCGACGAUCGGUAGCUGGUCUGAGAGGAUGAUCAGCCACACUGGAACUGAGACACGGUCCAGACUCCUACGGGAGGCUG
rnacentral:rRNA from 1 species